rnacentral:rRNA from 1 species
UUGAACGCUGGCGGCAUGCCUAACACAUGCAAGUCGAACGGUAACGCGGGGGCAACCCUGGCGACGAGUGGCGGACGGGUGAGUAAUACGUAGGAAUCUGCCCAUUUGUGGGGGAUAACCCGGCGAAAGCCGGGCUAAUACCGCAUACGCUCUACGGAGGAAAGCGGGGGAUCGUAAGACCUCGCGCUAAUGGAUGAGCCUACGUCGGAUUAGCUAGUUGGUAGGGUAACGGCCUACCAAGGCGACGAUCCGUAGCUGGUCUGAGAGGACGAUCAGCCACACUGGGACUGAGACACGGCCCAGACUCCUACGGGAGGCAGCAGUGGGGAAUAUUGGACAAUGGGGGCAACCCUGAUCCAGCAAUGCCGCGUGUGUGAAGAAGGCCUGCGGGUUGUAAAGCACUUUCAGUGGGGAGAAAAAUCGGAGCUAACACCUCCGAUCUUGACG